rnacentral:rRNA from 1 species
GACGAACGCUGGCGGCGUGCUUAACACAUGCAAGUCGAACGGAAAGGCCCUGCUUUUGUGGGGUGCUCGAGUGGCGAACGGGUGAGUAACACGUGAGUAACCUGCCCUUGACUUUGGGAUAACUUCAGGAAACUGGGGCUAAUACCGGAUAGGAGCUCCUGCUGCAUGGGGGGGGUUGGAAAGUUUCGGCGGUUGGGGAUGGACUCGCGGCUUAUCAGCUUGUUGGUGGGGUAGUGGCUUACCAAGGCUUUGACGGGUAGCCGGCCUGAGAGGGUGACCGGCCACAUUGGGCCUGCGAUACGGCCCAGACUCCUACGGGAGGCAGCAGUGGGGAAUAUUGCACAAUGGGCGGAAGCCUGAUGCAGCAACGCCGCGUGCGGGAUGACGGCCUUCGGGUUGUAAACCGCUUUCGCCUGUGACGAAGCGUGAGUGACGGUAAUGGGUAAAGAAGCACCGGCUAACUACGUG